rnacentral:rRNA from 1 species
GACGAACGCUGGCGGCGUGCUUAACACAUGCAAGUCGAACGGAAAGGCCCUGCUUUUGUGGGGUGCUCGAGUGGCGAACGGGUGCGUAACACGUGAGUAACCUGCCCUUGACUUUGGGAUAACUUCAGGAAACUGGGGCUAAUACCGGAUAGGAGCCCCUGCUGCAUGGUGGGGGUUGGAAAGUUUCGGCGGGUGGGGAUGGACUCGCGGCUUAUCAGCUUGUUGGUGGGGUAGUGGCUUACCAAGGCAUUGACGGGUAGGCGGCUUGAGAGGGUGACCGGCCACAUUGGGACUGAGGUACGGCCCAGACUCCUACGGGAGGCAGCAGUGGGGAAUAUUGCACAAUGGGCGGAAGCCUGAUGCAGCAACGCCGCGUGCGUGAUGACGGCCUUCGGGUUGUGAACCGCUUUCGCCUGUGACGAAGCGUGAGUGACGGUAAUGGGUAAAGAAGCACCGGCUAACUACGUG